AUUGAACGCUAGCGGGAUGCCUUACACAUGCAAGUCGAACGGAGUGGCGAACGGGUGAGUAAUGUCUCGGAACGUGCCCAGUAGCGGGGGACCCCUACGCGAAAGCGUAGCCAAUACCGCAUACUAUUGGAGCGGCCGCUAUCGGCUUAGCUAGUUGGUGGGGUAACGGCUCAGCAAGGCGACGAUCCGUAGCCGGUUUGAGAGGACGACCAGCCACACUGGGACUGAGACACGGCCCAGACUCCUACGGGAGGCAGCAGUGGGGAAUUUUGGACAAUGGGCGAAACCCUGAUCCAGCCAUCCCGCGUGUGCGAUGAAGGCCUUCGGGUUGUAAAGCACUGUUGGCAGGAAAGCGGUACCUGCAGAAUAAGCACCGGCUAACUACGUGCCAGCAGCCGCGGUAAUAC
rnacentral:rRNA from 1 species